UGAAAAGGAAAAACAAAACCAAAAGAAAACAACCAUCAUUUACCCACCCUCUACCUUCCCACCCCUUACCCCCAGUGCUCUCAGGAUCAAGACCAAUGCCCUAGGACUCACCCACAUCCUUCGGGGCUGCCCUCACUGACUUAACUUCUAGCCCCAUCUCUCCUUUCCUGACCACCUGCCCUACCCAGACGGAGCUAGUCUCCCUGGCGUGGGCAGGAUGCUACCCUUGGCACACCACACUGUUCUCCUGGGUCCCUAGAGUGGAAACCCUCCCACAGGCAGGUAGUAGGUCUCUCACUUUCCUAACAGAACACCUACUCCUUCCAACAUAGGCUCUUGGCUAUAAAGAUGGGGGAAAUCUUCUAUUUUUCCUCCAAGAUUUUUUUCUAAGUGUUUGAGCCAUUCCAUUUGAAGGGCCAUGGGAGUCACCCCAAUACCAACAUGGAAAUGAAUGUCCCUCAUGCAGAAUGUGGGCAGAAUGCUACGUCAUCUUUCAGUGAGCCGGUAGCAGAGCCAGACCUAAAAGCUGUGCCUCCUGUUUCCCUGACCAAGGCACUUUCCAUACCCCCGGGAGGGCCUCUGGGAUUUUAAGUACUGGCUUACCACUUCCCUUCCUUUACAAGGAUAACUGAGGGUUGGCUCUGUCCAUGCUCUUGAGGCACAUACGACUGAAUAACAGAAGAUAUGGCAGGCAGAGGAUGAGGACCACGGGCCAGAGUGAGAGCCCCCUUCCCAUGCUUCCCAGAGGAUGAAAACCCUCCUCCGUACCUGGACGCGACAGCUGACGAGCCGGCCAGGCCAGCCCUCUUCUCUGUGUCUGUCCUGUGCUCAACGCCGGCAUGUCCCGCGAGGCUCGCAGUGAACACCGUGGGGCUCCUUCCAGGACUCUCGGGCUCAAGAAGCCGUCGUGCAUAAAUGGGCACUGUUGUCAGUCUCAUGCUGGAGUGACCUUGUCCUCCCUCAGUUAUUUCAUUGCGUAGCAGGAUGAGUCUGCC